rnacentral:rRNA from 1 species
CGGUACUUUGACCGUGCGAAGGUAGCAUAAUAAUUAGUUUUUUAAUUGAAAGCUGGAAUGAAUGGUUGAACGAGAAAAAUACUGUCUCAAGUUAAUUUUAUUAGAAUUUUAUAUUUAAGUUAAAAAGCUUAAAUAAUUUUAAAAGACGAGAAGACCCUAUAGAGUUUUAUAAAUUUUGUUAUUUUAAAUAUUAAGAAUCUUAGAGUUUAAAAUAUUAAAAUUUAUUUUAUUGGGGUGAUAGGAAAAUUUAAUAAAACUUUUCUUUAAUUAAAACAUUAAUUUAUGAUUUAUUGAUCCAUUUUUUAUGAUUAUAAGAUUAAAUUACCUUAGGGAUAACAGCGUAAUUUCUUUAAAGAGUUCAAAUCGAAAAAGAAGUUUGCGACCUCGAUGUUGGAUUAAAAUUAAGUUUUGGUGUAGAAGCUAAAA